UUUCACUGUUCCCCAGCUGUAAAUAUCUUCUAAAUUGGAAUAAGCUCUAGUGUUAGUUAGAUACUUUUCCCUUUUAGUUUGGAAUGAAGCAUUGCGUUAAUGUGGUUAUAAUGGUGGGAUCCCAUUUACAAGAACCAUAUUAUACUUAUUACUAAAUGUCUAAUUAUUAAAUAUGAAUAAUGUAAUAGCUUUAGUACUUUUAAUUGUAGUAUUCUAAUUUUUAAGCCCCUAUAUUUGUAAAACGAAUGUCCUUUUGUAUUA
rnacentral:lncRNA from 1 species